UUUCUUUUGCGAAAUUUGACUCCUCUUAAUGUUUCUAAGUUUUCUAAGACUUUCAAAUUCCGAAUGCCUUCUUCGGUACCUUCGUCGUCACCACCACCGCUUCCGUCAUCACCACCAACGCCUCCGUUGUCAUCACCAUCGCCUCCAUCAUCACCACAAUCGCCUUCCUGUCUAUGUAACACUUCGUCUCUUCACCACCACCAUCUGUCUAUUGGCGCUUCUUCCUCUGUCAGCACCAAGCAUCUCUCCUUCAUCUAAUCGGUGGGUCUACAAGUAUUGAAGAGAAGAAAGAAUCAAUUGAAUCGAAAAUGUCUUUAAUGAGCGUGAAAAUGUCAGAAGAAGUGUGGUUAAGUUGCCUCACUAGUGUAUUGUCCACUGAAACCGAAGAGAUUAUGGGUUUUCUUCUUGGGGAUAUUCAAGUAAUCUGACCUAACAUUUUUUUCUCUAUUAUCUAGUCAAUUGAAGAAAUGCAUAGACACAGUGCCAAGUUCGAUUAAUAAUUCUGAUGGUUGCACCGCAUUGUCUAUCAGAGUGGUGGCACCUCAAGUUGAUUUUGAACUCAAUUCAUUUUGUCUUAUUAAUGUUUUCACCUAUAAAUUUUUAUGGAGAAGUUUAUGUAAAUAGAGUCUAAAUGUUCCGAUUUCAUGAUGAGAGAUGAGACUUGUUGAACUUGUGCAGUUGGAGGAUGGCUAACUACACGUCGUGUCACUGGUUUGACAGCUAUAGGUGUGAGGAAAGGUCUGAAGACAGAAUUGAUAGAUGCUGAGCCUAUGGAGAGCCAUCUCCAUUUUCUUCCAUUGAAGUGUGGGUAUGGACUGGGGUUCUUCUUAUAUCCUUUGCUGUUUCUUUGAUAUAUUUUCUCACUUAUAUUUUAGUUUUAUUCAUAUCCUGACAUAUUUCUAAGGGUGUGAUGGAGAGUAUUUCGCUAUUUUAAAAAUUUUCCUAGGUUGAUAUACCUAUUCAGCAAAGCUAUCUGUAUUCUAGAUCAGGUGUGUGAUUUAUUUGCACAUAUAACUCAUUCCAAUAACAAAUUAAAUUAGUACAAUGUAUGUGUCAAUGAUGUGAUUUCUUCCACAGGCUUCUACUACAUAUGUAUUCUGGCCUAAUGGAUCCCCUCCAGCUAUCAUUUCAAGAUCAGUAAGUUCUUUCCAUGAAUCUAGUAACAUCUGAGAUUAGUUUUAUAUAAAAUAGAAUUCUUUAUAUGAACUCUAAAUGGACGAGAUAUUCACAAAAAUUUCUAACAAAGUAUCAUGGUUUGCUAUUUUCUAGUUGUCUUACUACAUACCUUUCAAUUUCCUUCUAUGAUUUUUAUAUUUCUAAUACUACAUUUAUAGUCUCUAUAUUUGUUUUUUGAUUUAUUUGAUGCACAAGUGCCCACCAAGGCAAUCUGUAGAGCACUAGUUGAUGAAGUUCAUCAAAAAUUUAGCUCUUGGAUUUAUCAGUAGCCAUGGAAGCUUUUCAAACAGCUCUUUGCUGAACAACUUGGUGGGACACAUCUGGCAUUCCUCAGUUCUUGUUCCAUAUCAUGGAUGGGUUGGGGGACAUAAGUUAUUGUGGAGGUUGCAACAUCAGGUUAGGAAAUAUGUACUCGGCCUUUCCAGCUGGUGACUAGGCAUGUAUGGAAGGGAACAACUUUUGGUGGCUUCAAGAGUCAAUCACAAGUGCCUUGGCUUGUAGAAAAGUACAUGAAGAAGGAAAUCAAGGUUGGCUCAUACUGCAUUCCAUCUUGUUGAUCCAUGGUUUAACGACCUACUAACUUCUCUAUAUAGGCCACAACCUAACGUAAGAUAUUAGAGUCUAUUCAUUUCUUAUUUUCACUAAUUUUGACAGCAUUUGGAAUUAACAUUGUUCCUUUUAUCAUCCUACUUUAUUUAAUAAUAUAUAAACGCUUUAAGUUAUCACUGAUGCUUAGAUUAAAUGGCUGAGAUAGAUUAGUGCAGGACCUUAUUCUCUUGUUGGAUGCAUGACCAUCACUACUGGUGCACUUACCCGUAGAAAGGGAAACCAUUGCUGAUGAUGAAUGAUGAAUACAUGAUCAUUUCAGCUAUUAGCCAACAAAUUAAUCAAAUAUAACCGUUUGGGAGCAAAACCAUAUUAAUAUGUGAGCAUAUGGAUACUUAGAGUCAGAGUGGGGUCAACAUGGGAAUUUUUACAUGAAAUUAUUUUAUGGAUUUUAUGGAUUACUUUUGUAAUUAGUUACUAUAAAUUGUUUUAUAUUUGUAGGCGUUGAACACAUUUAUUGAUUUUGUCUUUUAGUGCUUUUAAUAAAGUUUGAAAUUUUCCCGCAUUUUGGGAAAGA